CACCGAUAGCAGCACACUACUGAAGGCAUAAGCCUUCAAGACUCAUCUCUGGAACUCCUAUGCUUGCUUUCAGCAAUGGUUGGAGUUUUAAGAAGGGAAGUAGAACUGAACUUUAUACUUGGAAUGAUACAGGCAUUGAUCAGCGAUGAUGACAUCCAACGAAUCCUGAGCAAAUCGGACUUUCUGGGCUUUGGAGAUAUGCUCUGCUGCAGCAACCAUGGCUGCUGCUUCAGGCACUGAAGGUGCGGUAUAACAUUUUCGCUAUCAUCAUCUAUGAGAAAGAUUGAGAAUUCUCUUAAUUGUUAAUGGGAGUAAUUAAUACUCGUGAAUGCUUUGUUGCAACCAAUUCAUCAGUGUCAUUAAUUGCAAAGUUAUCUUUGGCUGGAUCGCAUGUUCAAAAAUAUCAUUGCAAGAACUUCCGAGUCUAAUGAAUCGAUGCCUGAUUUUUGGUUGAGAAACUACAGAAUCAUAGAUUGAUCUGAACAGAAAUGGAAUAACACAGCUCGUGGGACGAUAAUGUCGCAGACACUUGUAAAUGUAAGCAAUUCAGAGUACAAUUUGCACCAAAAAUGCAUGUAGACAAUACUAGUACUAUUACAAGUAUGAUUUCUGUAUCAAAUGGAGUACCAAUCUUUCUUCUUCUUAAUACAGAAUACAGUACCAUUUCACAACCAAAAUAUUGCUAUGGACCCUCAGCCCCUGGUUAAUGGAAUAAGAAGAAACGAAGAGAGCACACCUGGGACCUAUAUAAUCUGAUUACAGCGUAUUUCCCUUUGCUGGUUUUGGGAGUCAAGAAUCUUAACCACUUGAACCGUCCAUAAUCUCGAGGAAAUGAGAUUUUGCUCUUGCAACUGUUUUGACGAGUAUAAUUAACCAAAGUGCACUUUAUGGGCGCUAGAGAAAUGCUUUGCAGCUGCUACCAUAGCUGCCUCAGGGUUACAAGGCACUGCAGCUGUUGAAGUCUUCUUGAUUUCAUGCUCAGUUGAGGCUGUAAAGCACGAGCUGAAUAACCUAAAGACUGCUGAGUACCACUUCAUUAUUGUAUUAUCCUUACUCCUCUUGUUGCUAUGUUGUUAAAUGUUCAAACAAAUUGGGCUGCUCUCUUUUAAUCAAAUAAACUAGAAAAUGAACAAAUAAAACUCUCUCGAGACUAGGAAUAUUGAA